rnacentral:lncRNA from 1 species
AGUACACUCACUAAGUUGGCUUGGUUGGAUCUAAGCUACAAUGACUUGGAUGGUCUGAUCACAGAAGAACUUUUUGAUGGAUUGAAAAGCUUGAAGAAUAUUGGCUUAUCUGACAAUCGAUUGAAGAUUGUUGUAGGUUCAGACUGGAUUCCUCCCUUUCGACUGAAAGUAGCUAAUUUAGCAUCUUGCCACAUAGGUCCUUUGUUUCCUUCAUGGUUUAAGUGGCAGAUGGGCAUUUCACACAUUAAUAUUUCACGCGGUAAUAUAAUUGAUAGGCUUCCAGACUGGUUCAGUAAUUCAUUGUCAAAUGUCGAAGUGUUGGACAUUUCGGGUAAUCAAAUCAUUGGAGCAUUGCCAACAAACAUGGAGACCAUGUCUUUGAGUAAACUCCUCCUGAGUUCAAACAAUAUAACAGCCAACAGCCUAUCCGGUGUUAUACCUUGGCAGCUAUCAAAUCUUGAAGCUAUGACAAAAAGGAAGUCUAUGCUACGUAAGCUCCCAAACAAUUAUUCACGGGGAGUUGACCGUUAUCUUUCGAGGUUCAAACAUAUGGUUGGUGAACUAUCAGUCACUACCAAGAGGCAAGAUCUUAAAUAUCAAGGCUUUGCACUUUUGGGAAUAGUGACUAUUGACUUAUCAUCCAACUACUUGACUGGAAGAAUACCAUCAGGAGGUCAACUUGACACACUCUACAACAAUAAUCCGUCUAUGUACGAUGGCAACGCCGGUCUCUGUGGGGAUAUUCUUAAGAAGAAAUGCCCUGGGAACGACGCAUCAAAUGACUACGGGAGUUACAAAGACCACUAUGAGUUAUUGUAUCUCUGCUUUGGACUUGUCAUAGGAUUUGUACUUGGCCUCUGGGUGGUGUUUUCGACCCUUCUAUUCAAGAAAUCUUGGAGGAUUGCUUAUUUUCGUCUUUUCGACAAGAUAAUGUACUGA